rnacentral:rRNA from 1 species
GAUGAACGCUGGCGGCGUGCCUAAUACAUGCAAGUCGAGCGAACGGACGAGAAGCUUGCUUUUCUGAUGUUAGCGGCGGACGGGUGAGUAACACGUGGAUAACCUACCUAUAAGACUGGGAUAACUUCGGGAAACCGGAGCUAAUACCGGAUAAUAUUUUGAACCGCAUGGUUCAAAAGUGAAAGACGGUCUUGCUGUCACUUAUAGAUGGAUCCGCGCUGCAUUAGCUAGUUGGUAAGGUAACGGCUUACCAAGGCAACGAUGCAUAGCCGACCUGAGAGGGUGAUCGGCCACACUGGAACUGAGACACGGUCCAGACUCCUACGGGAGGCAGCAGUAGGGAAUCUUCCGCAGUGGGCGAAAGCCUGACGGAGCAACGCCGCGUGAGUGAUAAAGGUCUUCGGAUCGUAAAACUCUGUUAUUAGGGAAGAACAUAUGUGUAAGUAGCUGUGCACAUCUUGACGGUACCUAAUCAGAAAGCCACGGCUAACUACGUG